UAUGCGUGAUCAUCAGAAUAGUACUUUUGCAGGCGAAUUAGUGAGGUCGGGCAUACACGGAGUUGAGACAUAGUCAACAGCAUGGCUUCCGCGUUUGCCUUUGAGUUAGGUACUUGACGGUUUGAGUUGGCGAACGAUUUUGAAUCGUAUUUUGAGCUGUUAAGAAGACGCAGCAGGAUUUGAGGGUUUAUUGUGCAGGUUAGAAUAUCGAUUAAUCGUC
rnacentral:lncRNA from 1 species